rnacentral:rRNA from 1 species
GGCUUAACACAUGCAAGUCGAGCGGAAACGAUGGGAGCUUGCUCCCAGGCGUCGAGCGGCGGACGGGUGAGUAAUACUUAGGAAUCUGCCCAGUAGUGGGGGAUAGCUCGGGGAAACUCGAAUUAAUACCGCAUACACCCUACGGGGAAAAGGGGGCGCUUGCGCUCUCGCUAUUGGAUGAGCCUAAGUCGGAUUAGCUAGUUGGUGGGGUAAAGGCCUACCAAGGCGACGAUCUGUAGCUGGUCUGAGAGGAUGAUCAGCCACACCGGGACUGAGACACGGCCCGGACUCCUACGGGAGGCAGCAGUGGGGAAUAUUGGACAAUGGGGGCAACCCUGAUCCAGCCAUGCCGCGUGUGUGAAGAAGGCCUUUUGGUUGUAAAGCACUUUAAGCAGUGAAGAAGACCUAACGGUUAAUACCCGUUAGCGAUGACAUUAGCUGCAGAAUAAGCACCGGCUAACUCUGUGCCAGCAGCCGCGGUAAUACAGAGGGUGCAAGCGUUAAUCGGAAUUACUGGGCGUAAAGCGAGCGUAGGUGGCUUGAUAAGUCAGAUGUGAAAUCCCCGGGCUUAACCUGGGAACUGCAUCUGAUACUGUCAGGCUAGAGUAGGUGAGAGGGAGGUAGAAUUUCAGGUGUAGCGGUGAAAUGCGUAGAGAUCUGAAGGAAUACCGAUGGCGAAGGCAGCCUCCUGGCAUCAUACUGACACUGAGGUUCGAAAGCGUGGGUAGCAAACAGGAUUAGAUACCCUGGUAGUCCACGCCGUAAACGAUGUCUACUAGUCGUUGGGGAACUUGAUUCCUUAGUGACGCAGCUAACGCAAUAAGUAGACCGCCUGGGGAGUACGGCCGCAAGGUUAAAACUCAAAUGAAUUGACGGGGGCCCGCACAAGCGGUGGAGCAUGUGGUUUAAUUCGAUGCAACGCGAAGAACCUUACCUGGUCUUGACAUAUCUAGAAUCCUGCAGAGAUGCGGGAGUGCCUUCGGGAAUUAGAAUACAGGUGCUGCAUGGCUGUCGUCAGCUCGUGUCGUGAGAUGUUGGGUUAAGUCCCGCAACGAGCGCAACCCUUUUCCUUAGUUACCAGCGGUUUGGCCGGGGACUCUAAGGAUACUGCCAGUGACAAACUGGAGGAAGGCGGGGACGACGUCAAGUCAUCAUGGCCCUUACGACCAGGGCUACACACGUGCUACAAUGGUAGGUACAGAGGGCAGCUACACAGCGAUGUGAUGCGAAUCUCAAAAAGCCUAUCGUAGUCCAGAUUGGAGUCUGCAACUCGACUCCAUGAAGUAGGAAUCGCUAGUAAUCGCGGAUCAGAAUGCCGCGGUGAAUACGUUCCCGGGCCUUGUACACACCGCCCGUCACACCAUGGGAGUUGAUUGCACCAGAAGUGGGUAGCCUAACUUUUAGAGGGCGCUCACCACGGUGUGGUUG